AAGGGAAAUCACACAGUGCAAAUUCACAUCCAGAUGAGGUAGUCGGAGGUAAUAUCAGUAAUAACAGUAAUAUCAGUAAUCUUUGUGAUUGAAAGAGACAGUACAAUUUGUGUCGUCGAUGAUAGGCCUGGGGGAAGGGAAAGGAUCAUGAUGUCUAGUUCCCGUCCAAGACUUUGGUACUCAAAGAGGUAAUUUUACAAUCUUCUCUUUAGAAUUCCAUGGAGCAGAGUGUGGAGCGAUCUGGGAAGUGGCUGAGCUUUCUCUCUGGAGCAAAACAUGAAGAUGAAGUGGAAGAAAAAAUGUGGCAGAGAAGGAAAAGUAAUCUCUACACCCAGCUUGGGGCUUGAACUCACCACCCUGAGAUCAAGAGUCACAUGGUCUUCUGACUGAGCCAGCCAGGUGCCUCUGGUUUUGUGUUUUAGAGUGAAUCUCCCAGAAUCGGUGAGCAAAAUCCCUAACUGCCAAUUUGGUCCAGAAAAAACAGUAUAAAAUGUGCUAACUGCCAUUGUCAUUCACAUCUGGCUGACAGGUGGAUUUUACUAACAAUGCACCUUCAUGGUAGCUUUCUAUUUCAGUUAUUCUUACUAAAUAUAUGUUCUGUUCUGUUGUUUUCCCUGCUGCUGAAGCAGUGUGUGUAAUGUCAAGAAGCAUAAGGACAAGUAUUUUAGUCACACAAUUGAAGAGACCAUUAUUUAAAGAUUUCAUCUUCUAAUUCUGGUUGCUCAGACGAUGAUGCCUAUAGCCACUCUUCUUGUAUGACUUCCUUUCCUGAUACUCAGUUUCUUGCUCUGCAUAUUGGAGGAUAAACACUCUUUACUUCGCUUCAUAAGUAUUAGAUUCUAAAUAAACAGUAGCUGUAAUAAUACUGGUGAGGAUCACAGGGGUUCUGUGAGGCUGAAGUCUUUCAAAAGCAGAA
rnacentral:tRNA from 1 species